rnacentral:lncRNA from 1 species
GUGUUUAUCCACCACGGUGCGGCCCUAACUCUCCUCCGUCUCGUUCCCCAGAACGGACCGCAGCAACGGCCGACCAGAGUCGCCCCCCCCGGGGCCCAGCAAGGGGGGGGCCCCCAGCCCCGACUGCUGCUCACCCGGGGCCCCCGACGCCCCGGGGGGCUGGGGGCCCCCCUGGGCUCGGCGGCGCUGGAGGACCGGCUCCUGGGGGGGCGGCGGUGCCCCUGCGCCCUCUGGGGGCUGCGGCUGCUCAGCCGGCGGCACGGCUGGGCCGGGAAGGUGCUCGGGGCCCGACCGAUCCGGAGGGCCGGCUCCACCCCCAACCCACUGAGACGGCGCUGGCUAACCAUGGUAACCACGGGAACGACCAGCGUACCGGUCCAGACUAACGCCUGGACCAGCACCAACCUCUCGCCGGUCCGGACUAACGCCUGGCAACCCGCCCCCAAACAAGGCUGGAAGGCCCAGUUCAGGAGGAAGGUCCCCAGUAAGGAGGUGCUGGACCGGCAGCUGGACGACUACAUGUCCAAGUCCAAGAGGUACCUGGAUGCCCAGCUGGACGCCUACAUGGCCCAGGCCGGAGACCGGGACGCGGACGACGACGACAGGAAGCUGUACGACAGCGACUGCGCUGAGUAAACCCGGUCUGGGGGCGUGUCUUAGCUGGAGGUUUAUUUUAUAGAGCGCUUUAUGUUUUAACGUUGACCCAUUCAGUGUCUGUGUGGUUGUUUUGUCUUUUUACUCAGAGUCCAGUUUCACCAGCAGAUGUUUUUUAGUUGGCAGAUGUUUUAUGUCAAAUGUCGGGUUUGUGUCGUUGAUGUGUUGUGAUCUUCUCUGUGUUUAGGUUUAAUUAAAGGAGGCUGUGGCCCAAUCGAUUGAGCAUCAUGUUUCUGUAAAAAUCUGAACGUUCUGUUUAGUUGGUGUUGACAUGUUCUCUGGGUUUUCACGGUACUAGUCUCAGGACAAGGAGGGUGUGUCAGAUGAAUGUGCCGACCAUCAGGC